AACGAUGAUGUAGUGUUGGGGGUUCCACCUUCAGUGCUGAAGUUAACACAUUAAGCAUUCCGCUGGGGAGUACGACCGCAAGGUUGAAACUCAAAGGAAUUGACGGGGGCCCGCACAAGCAGUGGAGCAUGUGGUUUAAUUCGAAGCAACGCGAAGAACCUUACCAGGUCUUGACAUCCUCUGACCACUCUAGAGAUAGAGCUUUCCCCUUCGGGGGACAGAGUGACAGGUGGUGCAUGGUUGUCGUCAGCUCGUGUCGUGAGAUGUUGGGUUAAGUCCCGCAACGAGCGCAACCCUUGACCUUAGUUGCCAGCAUUCAGUUGGGCACUCUAAGGUGACUGCCGGUGACAAACCGGAGGAAGGUGGGGAUGACGUCAAAUCAUCAUGCCCCUUAUGACCUGGGCUACACACGUGCUACAAUGGAUGGUACAAAGGGUUGCGAAGCCGCGAGGCCAAGCCAAUCCCAAAAAGCCAUUCUCAGUUCGGAUUGUAGGCUGCAACUCGCCUACAUGAAGCCGGAAUUGCUAGUAAUCGCGGAUCAGCAUGCCGCGGUGAAUACGUUCCCGGGCCUUGUACACACCGCCCGUCACACCACGAGAGUUUGUAACACCCGAAGUCGGUGGGGUAACCCUUUUGGGAGCCAGCCGCCGAAGGUGGGACAGAUGAUUGGG
rnacentral:rRNA from 1 species